GAUGAACGCUGGCGGCGUGCCUAAUACAUGCAAGUCGAGCGAACAGACGAGGAGCUUGCUCCUCUGACGUUAGCGGCGGACGGGUGAGUAACACGUGGAUAACCUACCUAUAAGACUGGGAUAACUUCGGGAAACCGGAGCUAAUACCGGAUAAUAUAUUGAACCGCAUGGUUCAAUAGUGAAAGACGGUUUUGCUGUCACUUAUAGAUGGAUCCGCGCCGCAUUAGCUAGUUGGUAAGGUAACGGCUUACCAAGGCGACGAUGCGUAGCCGACCUGAGAGGGUGAUCGGCCACACUGGAACUGAGAAACGGUCCAGACUCCUACGGGAGGCAGCAGUAGGGAAUCUUCCGCAAUGGGCGAAAGCCUGACGGAGCAACGCCGCGUGAGUGAUGAAGGUCUUCGGAUCGUAAAACUCUGUUAUUAGGGAAGAACAAAUGUGUAAGUAACCAUGCACGUCUUGACGGUACCUAAUCAGAAAGCCACGGCUAACUACGU
rnacentral:rRNA from 1 species